rnacentral:rRNA from 1 species
GACGAACGCUGGCGGCGUGCUUAACACAUGCCAGUCGAACGGAAAGGCCCUGCUUGCAGGGUCCUCGAGUGGCGAACGGGUGAGUAACACGUGGGUGAUCUGCCCUGCACUUCGGGAUAAGCUUGGUAAACUGGGUCUAAUACCGGAUAGGACCGCACUUUAGUGUGUGUGGUGGAAAGUUUUUUCGGUGUAGGAUGAGCUCGCGGCCUAUCAGCUUGUUGGUGGGGUAAUGGCCUACCAAGGCGGCGACGGGUAGCCGGCCUGAGAGGGUGUACGGCCACAUUGGGACUGAGAGACGACCCAGACUCCUACGGGAGGCAGCAGUGGGGAAUAUUGCACAAUGGGCGCAAGCCUGAUGCAGCGACGCCGCGUGGGGGAUGAAGGCCUUCGGGUUGUAAACUCCUUUCGCUAGGGACGAAGCUUUUUGUGACGGUACCUAGAUAAGAAGCACCGGCUAACUACGUG